GAGGUUAUCUCUGGAGAAGAAGUUCAGUGCAUUCCAAUUUUUUCAGCACAAGCUUGCUGGCCUCCAGACACUUUGCUGCCUGCGGCAAAGGGCAACAUAAUGUCCUCUGCCAGCCAGCUGAACUGGCAGCUGGAUUGUCCUUUUGAUGCUGACAGUGAGACAGCAUGCUGCUGAAGUAGGCAGGGCAGAGUGGUGUCCUUCAGACAACUGGCACUGUAGCUCCUCCACCCUUGUUCCCAGGGGAGAUUGUCUCACUUUGCCUAAUAGCAGGGCCAGUUCUGCAGCACCCUAAGCAGGAUGCUUUCCCCACUCCACCAGACUGCUUCCUCCGCCUUUGCUCUGUUGGAAGGAACUAUCCCUUCCCUCUGUAGUUCUCUCUCCCUCUUUCCACAUCCCCAGCUUGCUCUCUGGACUCCCGCUUAAUAUAGCCUGUGCCGAAUCCUCGCCCCUCUAUUCUGCCUCUAUCUAUAGCUCCUCCUUGGUCUUCUCUUAUUCCUAUUUUAAGCCUGAGCCGCUGAUGUGACAGGCAGAAGCUUGUGUUUACUUCCCUUCAGUUCCCAGGGAUGUGCACAGGCCCUCUCCCAGCCUCUUCCAGAUUUUCCCCUCUUCUCCUUUUCCGCCACAACAACUGCAGUAAGAGGAGUCUGGCUAUAGGGAUGUCCGGCGAGAUUGGAGAAGACACUAUGGUGAAGAAGGCUGCUUCCUCCGAGAGGGAACUGAUGGAACUAAGCGAAAAUGAUGUAGCAGAAAUCAACCUGCACGCUGUGGAAUCCAUCAGCGACUUGCACUACGGAUCCAGCAGACACGAAGGGAGCAGCCAGACUCAGCACAACAGCCCGUGGACACCGCAUAGCCUGGCCUCCUCCAAGCACUUCACUUUCCCAAAUGAAGAGGACUCGUCCUUUGUACCCAUCCAGAAUUUCCACAUGAUGCCCACUUUCACCUGUUGUCCUUGCUUUGGCCCAACCUGUUGCCCCACUGGCUUCUUUGCCCUCCUCGGAGUGCUGGUUGUGGCCAGUCUAGGCCUGGCCACCCUGGCGGUCUAUCUGAGUGCUCUGGAUUUCUAUGGGGACCUUUUGGUGAUAAGAAGCCAAGGUGCCAUAGCACCCCACAGCGAUGCUUCUGGUCCUGCAACGUGAGUCACUUCGGACGCUUGCUCAGUGGCUGGAGUCACAAGAGGAGGCCAUUCGACAAAUGAGAGCAGUGAGUUUACAGCUAUGGAAGCAGCUCAAUGCCAGCGAGCCUGGGGCUCAAACCUGAGCUUGGCAGUUACUACUCGUCUUGGUUCUAACUUUCCUUGGGGGAAGCCCGAUUCAUGUGACAAUGAGAGAAAACCAACUCACUGCUUGGCGCAUUUCGGACACUUGACAUGUGUUGGUUUGGACUCUGCAAUUCCUAAAGCAGAAAGCUCUCCAGAAGCAUUAGAGACCCGUUGCUGAAGUGUGUGUGGCCCGCAGACAGGAACAGCUGCAACACUUGAGGCUACCCAGGAAAGGGAGGAAGACUGGCAGAAACCCUACCCAUUGGUAAAGAGGAAGGGGUGCCUCCCGUGAACACUUCAGAUGCUGUUUUUUUUUCCAUACAUACACAGUAUUUUAAAUACUGUAUAUAUUAUCAGUACCUUUUCUCCACUUUAUAAUCAUUUAAAAUAUUGCUCACAUGGCACCUUUUGAUGUGUGUCUGGCAAUAAAAGCCACAAGCUUCCUUGGUCA
ensembl:lncRNA